rnacentral:rRNA from 1 species
AUUGAACGCUGGCGGCAUGCCUUACACAUGCAAGUCGAACGGUAACGGGCCUUCGGGUGCCGACGAGUGGCGAACGGGUGAGUAAUGCAUCGGAACGUACCUUUCAGUGGGGGAUAACGUAGCGAAAGUUACGCUAAUACCGCAUAUUCUGUGAGCAGGAAAGCAGGGGAUCGCAAGACCUUGCGCUGAUUGAGCGGCCGAUGUCAGAUUAGCUAGUUGGUGAGGUAAAGGCUCACCAAGGCGACGAUCUGUAGCGGGUCUGAGAGGAUGAUCCGCCACACUGGAACUGAGACACGGUCCAGACUCCUACGGGAGGCAGCAGUGGGGAAUUUUGGACAAGGGGGGCAACCCUGAUCCAGCCAUGCCGCGUGAGUGAAGAAGGCCUUCGGGUUGUAAAGCUCUUUCGGCCGGGAAGAAAUCGUAUCAGCUAAUACCUGGUGCGGAUGACGGUACCGGCAUAAGAAGCACCGGCUAACUACGUGCCAGCCGCCGCCGUAACAC